rnacentral:lncRNA from 7 species
ACAGGUCAAGAACAGGUAACCGCAAGAUGAGGCGCAUGGAGGAUGCUGUUCGUGAGUGGUCUAGGUCGUCGUCUCCCAGUCAACUUUGGGUUGCUGGACCGUUGUCUCCAUAUAAUGUAAUUAUUUGUUUAUUUUGUACAAAACUCCGAUUAUAUAGUAAAGAUGUGACAUUCGAUCCUGUGCCAUGAUUCAUCAUAUGUGUGAGACUUGGUCCCAGCACACCUGGUGAUUAUGUUUACGCCCGGGCUUUGGACCCCUAAAACCCGGGUGUUACAGAAGUGGUAUCAGAGGAAUGUUGACUGUAGGACGAAACCUAGAUAGAACCGGACAACCAUUGUCUACUUACCUCUGCUACUCUGAUUCUUUCUAAACUUAUCUUAAUCUUUUCUCAUAUAUUUCCGCUUUACUCUGAUUAUUCUUAUUUUUUCUUUCUAAAAGACAAAAGUGGAUUUCACACUUUGAAAUCCUGUGCCUAAAGUGACUUUCAGGAAUAGGAGACCUAAUCUUAGGAACAAAAACAAAACUAAUUUUAUCUCUAUGAACUUGAAUGUUUGUUCUUAUGAUACUUGUCUGAUUUGGAUCUUUGAUUGAGUGUGAUGGGUUGUGGAGUAAUAUCCAUAAUUACAUCUGCAUAUACACCUAGGCAAAAAAAAGGGUUUAUGAGAUAAUUAAGACAACCUAGAUUAUCUUCAUUGGAAUAUAUCUAGCUUAAUAGAUUUAUCUUAUCUUGAAAGAUACUCCAUUACCUUAGUAGACUCAUCUUGAAAAGAUUUUUAUCUUAUCUGACUGACCUCAAAAGAUUCUACCUUAUCCCUAUGGAUUCAUCUUGCCCUAAUAAGCAUAUUUACCCCACACUAGUGUAACAACCAUGAUUUAAUCCAAAGUAAUUAGAUAUUGUUUAAUCUAAUGAUAUCGAUCUAAUCUAGACUCCAUCUAAUCUACUAUGGUCCAAUCUAAAGUGAAUUACUUAACGAACUAGUUAAUACUAGUGAAAUAGAUUAUACCCCGCUGGCCAUGUUUUAACUUAAAUUAGUACAUCAAACCAAACCACCCAUGAACAAAUAACUUACCCGCAUAUUCAUGGUGACCAUCCAUCCCAUCUUAGAUGUUGUCAUAAUGCACUUAUCUUAUGCCACCAACCUGUUAACCAUCUGUCCUUACCUACAAGUAUCCUAACUACGUACCCCUAAUUCGGAUAAAUACUUCAAGAACGAAGAUCGAAGAUGAUCGACCUCAUCAAAUCAAGGAAGGAUAAGAUUCAAGAUAGAUCUUCAAAGGAAUCAGGAUUCACAAUCUUGGAUAGUCUUUCCUAGCCCUACCCUUUCUUACCCAAACCUAUAAAUGCUUUAAAGAUAUCUUUUAUCCUGCAUAUAAAAGUGGCUAUACUCAUAUAUACCCAUGCUCUCCUAAUCACUCACUAAUAAUAUAAAAAAAAAGGUUCUUGAUUUUUGAACUAAUUAGAAACUAAAAGCUAAAUUGCAAACCAUUCUUCAUAUAUUCCUUUUCUUACAAAUCUCGAGGACGAGAUUCCUGUUAAGGGGGGUAGGAUUUGUAAUAUCCAAAUUGUUAGGGUGAACAAAAGGAGAAAUUGUUUCUUUUAUAUUUGUGUGUGUAUCUCCAUUUAUCAUCACAUGUGACUGAUCAUGUUUAAAAAUGAGUAAAACUUCACUAAGACACAACUAAACCAUUGCAUCAUAUUGGACUUUUGGUUGUGCAUUUAAUUAUAAAAUUUAGAACCUGAGGUUUGAAAAUAGUUUAAUUCAAAAUUUUGAAAUUUGAACUCAAGCUAUGCAUAAAAAAAUAGAGGAAAAAAAUGUUAAUAAAGUCAUUUUUCCUUCUAUAAAUAAAUAAACGGGAAGGGAAUAAAUAAUAAUAACAAAUAAAUAAUAUCAUACCAAGUAAAAGAAGCAUUAGAACUAUAUUUGAUAUUUGAAAGUCUGAGAUUCAAACCAACAAUUUAAAUCCAUUUGAACUUUGAAAUGGAAAAC